rnacentral:lncRNA from 1 species
AGAAUGGGCAGGUGAAGCCUGAAGCCACAGCGCACUCUGUUGCAUGUGUGGAGCAGCUCAGCAGAGUGUGGGGCUGAAUUCCAGGUUGGCCUCCAGCCCAGGUUUAUGAAGGAAUCCAUCUUUCCGCGUUUCUGAUCAUCAUUAGAUGGGUGCUGUGUCCUUCGCAUACACAAUGCGAAUUAUCUUCCCCCGAGUGAAGGGACUCUUGAAGGACUGGUAUUUGCCAUCUUACUUUUGGGACAGUCAUCUCCAUAUUCCCGGAAUACCUCUAGCAAGAGAAGAACCUGCAGAGCCACACAGAGACACCAGAGGGCAGCAGAGCCUCUAAACUGAAAAAAAAAAAAAAAGAACCGGACAGGCCUCUGGCUGGGAUGUGAACUGCACAAACCACAGAAAGAGAGACGUUUGAAAGGGCUUCAAGGAACCAGAGAAUGGCCUCUGUGCUGACCUGUAAAGAUUUUCAAUUAGUACAAGAUCACUGAAGAAAACUCUCAGCCAGAACGUUCUAGAGUUACUUUCAUAGCUACCGAAAAAGCAACACCCAGCAUGACAACAAACAAUCUAACAGACAAAUGAUCUUCUAAAUCGGUAUUUAGCUGUGCUUAUACCAGAUUCAUAAGCUGAGGACCUGGGAGGUGAAGAACACAGCCUGUUGAAGAUGCCUUUCCUUGUUAAGACAGCAGAAGGGAUCUACCUGCUCAGACAUCUGGCUCCAGACCCUGGAGUCUGUGUAUUCAAGUCCUGUCCACAUAAUAAAUGGGGAAGUUGGGUGCUUUCUCCAAUGCCAAA